ACAACUUUCAACAACGGAUCUCUUGGCUCUCGCAUCGAUGAAGACCGCAGCU
rnacentral:rRNA from 1 species